AUACGUAGGUGGCGAGCGUUGUCCGGAAUUACUGGGUGUAAAGGGCGUGUAGGCGGGUAUGCAAGUCAGAUGUGAAACCCCACGGCUCAACCGUGGGCUUGCAUCUGAAACUGUAUAUCUUGAGUGUUGGAGAGGGAAGCGGAAUUCCUAGUGUAGCGGUGAAAUGCGUAGAGAUUAGGAGGAACACCAGUGGCGAAGGCGGCUUCCUGGCCAACAACUGACGCUGAGGCGCGAAAGCGUGGGGAGCAAACAGGAUUAGAUACCCUGGUAGUCCACGCUGUAAACGAUGGAUACUAGGUGUAGGUGGUGGAAAGCCAUCUGUGCCGAAGUUAACACAUUAAGUAUCCCACCUGGGGAGUACGGCCGCAAGGUUGAA
rnacentral:rRNA from 1 species